rnacentral:rRNA from 1 species
AUUGAACGCUGGCGGCAGGCCUAACACAUGCAAGUCGAGCGAGCGGCGGACGGGUGAGUAAUGUAUGGGGACUGCCCGCUAGAGGGGGAUAACUACUGGAAACGGUGGAUAAUACCGCAUCCUAUUGGAUAACCCAUAUGGGAUGAGCUAGUAGGUGGGGUAAAGGCUCACCUAGGCGACGCUCUAUCGCUGGUCUGAGAGGAUGAUCAGCAACACUGGGACUGAGACACGGCCCAGACUCCUACGGAGGCAGCAGUGGGGAAUAUUGCACAAUGGGCGCAAGCCUGAUGCAGCCAUGCCGCGUGUAUGAAGAAGGACUUAGGGUUGUAAAGUACUUUCAGCGGGGAGGCGUUACCCGCAGAAGAAGCACCGGCUAACUCCGUGCCAGCAGCCGCGGUAAUUC